CUUCUAGGUUCUGCUAGUAGUCCAAUACAGAUAUGGAAAGACGGUGACUGUGUUGAGCAAUCUUCAACUGAUAUUUGGUUAGCGAUUUGCACUGCUGUAAAAACAGCAUGUGCCCUCGGAAGUGUUUCCAAGGAAGAAGUUAAGGGACUGGGGUUCGCGGCUACUUGUUCUCUUGUUGCUGUUGAUUCUGAGGGUGAACCUGUCACGGUUUCAUGGAG
rnacentral:misc_RNA from 1 species